UUUUUUUUUCUUUUAUUUUUUUUUUCUUUUAUUUUAUUUAAAGAUAUGGAUGUAAAGUGGGUAUUUUGGUUUGAAUUUCGGCUGAUGCACUUUUUUUUUUCUCCCAAAAAUAAUAAUACCAAUUAAACUUAUAAGUACAAGGAUAAUAGUUAUUUGAGAUAAAUGAAUACUUCUCAGUGCACAAACCCAACUAUUACAUCCUUAUACUCCAUACCAUGGUCUUAUGGUAUGCUGGUGAAACUGGGGGUAAACUAAACUGGAAGCAGGAGUGAUUUCCCCUGCAAAGAGCUGUUAUUUGUAAAAGAGGAAAUGAGUCUGGUUUUAUUAAGCUGGUUGAAAUUCAGUGGCAUUCUGUUGAAAUGCGACAUUUCUGAAUCCAUCAUUCCUGAAUUCCAUGGGUUGUGCUCAGGGUUUGUGGAGUGGGAGCCCUGGGCUGGAGCAGAAGUGGGUGUGUGGGGAAGUAGCCAGCAAAGCCCCUUCUCCUCACAGGUUUUGAGAAGAACUUCUGCUGGCCUUUAGCUCUUAAACAGUAAUAGAAAAACAGUUGCCCCUUUUAGAGCCCUUUGUUACCUACUUCAUCACCAGAAAGGGAGACAUUGGAAAAUUAUUAGAAAACAAAAAUACACCAAAGUCUAACAGAUCCUGUUUGUUUGUGGGCAGAAUAAACUGUAUGGAAAACACAGGGAGGAGAGAUACAGGUGAAGAGAGGUGAAAGGAAAACAAAUUGGCUGCAUGGAGAGGUCUGGUGUCAAACAUCAGAGGGAUCUUGUUUGCUCAGAUACUGUAUUUAAGACCGUGGCAAUCGGGGACCUGGAGGGAGAGGAGAGGUUUGCAGCCCCUCCCUGAGGCUAGAUGACAGAGGAAAUAGGUGAAGCAAUCUGCUCUGCUGAGCCUGCUGCUGGGGCUGCAGUUUUGAACCAGCGUAUUCCAUCCCUUCAUCCUAUACACUGUUUUUUCUGAGGAAAAAAAAAACAAACCCAGAAGUCUGAAAUUAAUGGAUUUGUAAUUCCCUCAGUCUGUCAGAUGGUACCAUUCUGAGAAAGGUGGCUUUGCUGUGGGCAGUCUGAUUUAGAGAGAGGAUUAAGAUCCCUGCAAGACACAGUAAGUCACAACAUUACAAGGAAUUCAAUAGAAAUAUUUCUGAGGGAGUAUAGGAAUGUGCUUUCAGGCUGCUCUGAAAACACUGGGUAGAGAUGAUGUUUUACUGUGACCUAAUGUAUGGAAAUGGAGUAAUAUUUUUGAUCCCAGUAAUAGGCUGGAGAUCCCCCUUAACAGACAGCCACACACACACACAGACACGCAGGCAGUGCCUGUGUCCCCAGCAGCAGCUCAGGGCUGUGCAGAGGUGAGGGCAGACAGUUCUGUUCAUCAGCACUGUACAUCCCCUUGCACAUCACACCCAUUCCAUUGCACUAGUGUUGUGUUUAUCCACAAAGGCGUACAUCCUUGAAGACAUCCCUUUGUGGAGAUCUGCCAUUUCUGGUGGGUAAUAGAAUCAGAGGGUAAAAAUGGGAUUCUUCUUUCUGAUUUAAAUCUGUCUUCAGCUUCCAGUCCUUGUAUCUGGUUUUGCCUUCUUUGCUGGAUAAAAGAGCUCUUUAAGGAAUUUCUUUGCUCAUGAAGGUAUUUUUAUCCACCAUGGUCAAAGCAUCUCUCUGUUCUUUUUGUGGUAAGCUAAAUGGAUUGAGCUCUUUAAGUCACUCGCUGGCAGGCAUUUUCUGCCACAAAUCAUUUUUUUGUCUACUCUUUCUGCUCUGACUCUAAAAUGUAGAUGUCUGAUUGUAUACAUUUUUCUAGAGUCAUUUUUCUGAUGCAGUGUGCAGGAUAAGCUACCUCCUGGCUUCUAUUUGCUUUCUAUAUUCAAUAUCCAUUCGCUCACAUGACACAGAACGGCACAGAAAAUGAUGUUUGUCUGUUUUACACAUCCACAACUGUGCUUUCCAGUCUAUAUUUCUCACAGCUUGUUGGGCAAUGCUUUGCUCCCAGACAUGGAAUACCCAUCCUCUGUUGAUUUCUGCCAGUAGUUGUCUGGAGCAGCCCCCUUUUCCCUGAGGUGCCACUUUGCCCCCUGGCCUUCAGCAGGAGCAGAGUUGGCUCCUCCAAAUAUAUAUAGAGGGAUAAUGGGCAUGCUUGGGUGUCCCUGCCUGGUGCCUGGGGCUUCAGCUGGUGGUUGUUCUGCUUGUUCUGAAAGGAAAUUGUGACUGCUUUUAGCUGCAGUUGGGGGAUUGAAUGACAUGUGGAAGGAAUAAAUCACUGCAUGAUAAGGAAGAGGCACGUAAGAUUUGAGACAAAGAGGAAAAUCUCGUUUCCACUCCCCUUUGUUAUCCCUUUACUGUGCAUAACUGUACAUAUCGCACAUGUUACUCUGAGCUCCUGCAGAGUAUUCCACCACUCCAGUAGAGCCCUGGAAAUACACUGGGAGGACACAGGAUUUAUCUUCCUGUUGCUUAACUAAGAAUCAGAUUAUCCACAGGAGGCAACUCCCACAGAGGCAUUAAGUAAGCAGUCAGAUCCCAGUAUAAGUUCAUCUUACAUGAUGCCCUGUACCUAUCCAAAGCUACAAACCUGUCCAGGUGUGUUAUGCUGACCAUUUAUAAACAGUGGCUGCUUUUUGGCUCUGUGAACAGGCAGCACUUUGGCUCCUGCAAUACCUGCUUUUGUUCCCAGGGGCUGAGCUCUUAAUUCUGUCCUGGGCUGCCUUAAAAAUGGACAGCUGAGGCUGCAGGGGCAGAAGGGCUCCCAGGAGGCUGAGGUAGGGCCAGCCUGUGCUUGAACUUGCUCUUUGUCACAGCUGAGGGGCCUUGGCACCAUCCUCCCUUUAUGUAACCAGCUCUUGGCUUCACCUGUGCCUCGGUGAGGACCCUGCAGCAGAGCUGCAGCACCACUGUUCCCGACUGGAAUGCCUGCGACUCUGCUCGAGCCACUGUUAGCAGGAGAGAGCUGUUUGCAGCCUGAGAGCAUCACACAGUGGCUUUGGGUGGUGUAAAAAAGAGCCAGAGUGAAACAUGAGAAAUCCCAUUGUACCAUUUUCCCAGAUAUCACAACCUGAGAACACAAUCUGUUUCCCCUUCCAGGGCACCUUGUCACUCUCUUCAGGGACUACCUGCCCACAGAGCACCCCCGUACACACAUGUACACAUGGGCACAGGGGCCUGGGGGAAGGAGCUGGGCAGUCCCCUUGCUUCUGCAGAUCCCUGGAGUUAGAGGGUAAGCCAGAUGUGUGCAUUGGGCCACUGGGGAUACCAGCAUGGGUGAGAUGCAGCUACAGGCUGGGUACUGAUGGUGGGGUCUGCAGAGUGAAGCAAGAGACAGCAGUGCCAGUCGGUGGAGAAAGGAAAAUGCAGAGGCUGGGCAGAGGGUGUAGGAAGGAGAAAGGGAUAGCAGGGAAUGAGGAGGAGGAGCAGAAAGUCUAGGGGCAGAAAGACUCAGGGUGCAAUAGGAGGAUGAGAGAACAGUCAGGUAGAGCAGGAGCAAA